CUCCUUCUGCCAAGCCUAAGCAGCAUAACGGGAUCAUUUUGUCAUUCAAGUUCCCACUUAGUUAAUCACUGUGACAUCUUCAAAUCUCUGCAGUGUAUUUCACACAGAAUGUCUGCGCAAAGCAAAGCAGCCCCACCAGCCCAGCACAAGCUCCUGAGCUGUGCCCAUGUGGGCAGUCCUGCCCCCAGGAGCACUGGGCUUGGCAUCCUGUCUUACCUGUGUGCUUGGCCUUACUAACAACCCUGUUCUGGUUGGUUCUGCUCCCCAUCGUUCCUACUUUUUUGAUCUGUGAUAUCAUAAAGACCUCAGUUCAGAGAAAUUCUUCGGCACAUGCUGCUCUGCUUUGGCUAAGGCAGACCCAUGCAAGACAGAUCUCAGACCAAGGAAGGGGACUAACAAGGAAUAAGGAGGAAAUUCUCCAUGGACCUUUUAGGUACAAGCUGUAGAUGUUACCAACAUCCUCUGGCCUUUCCUAAGGAAGUUCCUGUGCUCAAGACUCUGCCUUAUUUGAAGUCUCCAGCUGAGUUUGGGUAAUCAUUACCACAGUCUGAGAUAGAGGAAAAUGCUAUGCCACACUGAGGAUCAAAUGUCAGCUAAAUGCUGCUUGUUGAGCUGCUAACAUUGCCAGCAGCAGCUAUACUUCCUGACUUAAAGGAAAUUUAAUGGCCCAAGAACAACUCGUCAAGGUAUACAUGCAAAAGAAAAGGCAUCACCCUUCAUAUCACUAGCAGCAUAGGACCAGGCUCUGGACUGGG